rnacentral:rRNA from 1 species
UACGAGGGGUGCAAGCGUUAUUCGGAAUUAUUGGGCGUAAAGGGUGCGUAGGCGGCACAUUAAGUCAACUGUUAAAUUCCUCGGCCUAACCGAGGCCAUGCGGUAGAUACUGGUGUGCUAGAGGAUGGAAGAGAGAAGUGGAAUUCUCGGAGUAGCGGUAAAAUGCGUAGAUCUCGAGAGGAACACCAAUGGCGAAGGCAGCUUCUUGGUCCAUUUCUGACGCUGAGGCACGAAAGCGUGGGGAGCAAACAGG